GACGAACGCUGGCGGCGUGCUUAACACAUGCAAGUCGAACGAAAAGAGGGAAAGAGCUUGCUCUUUUCAGAAUUGAGUGGCAAACGGGUGAGUAACACGUAAACAACCUGCCUUCAGGAUGGGGACAACAGACGGAAACGACUGCUAAUACCGAAUAAGUUCCAAGAGCCGCAUGGCCCAUGGAAGAAAAGGUGGCCUCUACCUGUAAGCUAUCGCCUGAAGAGGGGUUUGCGUCUGAUUAGCUGGUUGGAGGGGUAACGGCCCACCAAGGCGACGAUCAGUAGCCGGUCUGAGAGGAUGAACGGCCACACUGGAACUGAGACACGGUCCAG
rnacentral:rRNA from 1 species